UUUGCCAGCACUCACUAGUCAGCUCACCCUAUCUUAAUUUCUAUGGAAAUUGUAUUUGUAUAGAGGAAGACAAUGGCGAAGAUGACGAUGAUGAAAUGGGCCUUACCAAUAUCCACUGAUUCCACUCCCCAAACUUGUGUUCUUAUACCAAUCCCAGCAAUACCGUCGUCUUCUUCUUUGUGCACAACGAAAUCAAGAAGAGACUUCUCUCUUUCCGCAAUCACCAUAUCUUUCUCUGCUCUAAUAUUCUCUAACGCCCAGAUUCCCAACUCCUGGGCCAAACCCGAGCCUCCGCGGUUCGCCGAGCUCCCGAAUUCCGGCGGCGUUAAGGCCUUGGAUCUCCGCAUUGGCGACGGGGAAGUUCCCUUUGAUGGCGAUGAGGUUGCAAUUCAUUACUAUGGGAGACUUGCUGCAAAACAAGGGUGGCGUUUUGACUCUACUUAUGAUCACAAAGACGAAACUGGUGAACCAGUUCCAUUUUGUUUCAUCCUUGGUUCAGGCAAAGUUAUAGCAGGAAUUGAAAGUGCUGUGAAAUCAAUGAAAGUAGGUGGUGUUCGUCGAGUUGUUAUUCCACCAUCUCAAGGAUACCAGAAUACCUCCCAAGAACCUAUACCACCCAAUGUGCGAUAACUUUUAUAUAUCCUAGCCUUUCUGUUUAACAGCUUUAAAUCCUUUAAAAUGCCAGAAACUGCUCUGCAAAAGUUCAAGGCUUGUAGACUUGGAUGAAUGUGGAUCUACCUGAGAAGGGGCAGAGGCUCUUUACAACGAUCUUCAAUCCAACCCGUCUUGCCAAUGGAGAGGGCUCAACAUUGGGUACUCUCAUAUUUGAUAUUGAAUUGGUCAGCUUGAGACACCAGUAAUAUUCGAUCACUCUGCUGCGAGUUUCCUUUUUUUUGUGUUGCAUACGCAUACUCAACUUGCGAAUAUCAAUCCCACUGGAAGGUAUGUCAAUCUUAUGCCAUUUUGAAGUAAUUUUGACCUGUUGGCAGGAUUUAACUAACUUAUACUGCUCAAGUUGCCAAAUCACUGAUUGGGGAACCUUCUGAAAACAACGACAGUUUGGUCUGGUAACAAUGACAAGUUAUGUUUUGAUCAUUAUCUUUAUUUUGUGUUUGUAUAUAGUCAAAUGAAGAUAUAUGAUCAGUUUUUGAGUUGUGAAAACAGUGGAGAUUCAUUGGUCUAUGAAAGCUACUUCCCUUUGUUUAGGGUUACGACUCCCUAUUGAUAUUAAAGCCGAAAUAUACAAUUGUGUAUUUUAUUUCGGGUACUUUUCCGCCUUAAGCAUUAAACUUGUGACCUCUUGUCUUUAGGUCUCUAGUUUGUCACUCAAUUGAAGAUCAUUUGUAUAAUUGUGUGUUAUCACAUACUCCCCAAUUUUGAUCA